CUUGAGCAAGGUGUAACUGGAAAGUGUUAGGUUGAGCCAUAUAAAAAUGCUAAUAUAUCUUUGACCUAGAAGAAAUUUCAUAUGGCUCAGUCUAGUAUUAUAGCUGCCUUUUGUUCUUUUGUUUUCUAACAAACAGCUGAACCUAAACAGAUGGGUGUAGUUUUAUUAGUCAUCCAGAUUGUUUAUCAGUAUUUAGUUGUUUGACAUUUAAUACCUAACUUUCUGCUUUAUGUCACAUCUUUAACAGGUUCUUGUCAUUUCCCCUAACUUCUCCCAAGUUGGUUGUUGGUUUCUUGAGAGCGAAACCAGCAUUGCAUGUUGUAUGUUAUAAAAACAACACUAAUGACAUUUGUUAAGUUCUUACAAUGUGCCAAGCACUACUCUAAGCAUUUUACAUGUAAUAAUCCACUUACGCCCUCUGUGUUUGUAAGUGUGAUAACUAAGGUAUAUGAUGUUAAUAAAGUACCCCAGGUUACACCGGUAGUAGCAGAGCCGAGACUUGAACUCAAGACUAGUUCCAAAGCCCACGGUCCAGUGCAUUAUACUGUACUGCCUUUCACCAUAGGAAUAUAGAUAUUUCUGGACUAUUCAGAGGUUCCCUGACUUGUACUAAAUGUCUUUGUUGACUUCAUUUCAAAAACUCAACAUUCAUUCAACACAUUUUGAGUGCCUGGUAUGAUUUAGGCACUGUGUCUUAUAUUGCCAAUUAUCUGUAUCACAUAAAUUAAGCUGCUCAGUGGCCCAGACCUGAAUAUGGCACACUGCCUUCCCUUAGGAUUUUAUGAUUUGGUAUAGAUAAAUAAGCAGAUAAUUUUAAUAUGUAAUGACAGGUAAGAACAAAAUACUAAAAGCACAGAGGAGCGAUUUCUUGCUUAUUUCAAGAAAGCCCAUGCAAACAGGACUUUUGAAUUGUGGUUUUAUGUCGUAUUGGUGGAAUGCUGGGGUAGGGAAGCAUCCAGGUUUCAGGAAGAGCAUUUGCAAAGGCUGGGAGGUGUAAGGAACCCAGAGGAAAUGUUUUGGUGCUAAAGGAGAGGAUGGCUAAAGAGAGAUGAGGCUGUAGAGAUUGUUGGGCCAUCUGAGGGUCUUCAUACACUCAGAAUGCACUAUAGGCUGUUCAAUGGCUGUUAGAAAAACACUAAGAAGGUUUUGCUAGCUAAAGCACAUCUGUUACUGGAAAAGGGGUCCCGAUCCAGACCCCAAGAGAGGGUUCUUGGAUCUCAUGCAAGAAAGAAUUCUCAAUCCAUAAAGUGAAAGCAAGUUUAUUAAGUAAGUAAAGGAAUGAAGAAUGGCUACUCCAUAGGUAGAGCAGCCCCGAGGGCUGGUGGUUGUCCAUUUUUAUGGUUAUUUCUUGAUUGUAUGCUAAACAAGGAAUGGAUUAUCCAUGCCUCCCUUUUUUAGACCGUUUAUGGUAACUUCCUGAUGUUGCCAUGGCAUUUGUAAACUGUCGUGUCGUUGGUGGGAGCGUAGCAGUGAGGAUGACCAGAGGUCACUCGCAUCGCCAUCUUGGUUUUGGUGGGUUUUAGCUUACUACUUUACUGCAACCAGUUUUAUCAGCAAGGUCUUUAUGGCCUGUGUCUUGUUCCGACCUCCUAUCUCAUCCUGUGACUUAGAAUGCCUAAUUUGGGAAUGCAGCCCAGCAGGUCUCAGUCUUAAUUUUACCUAGCCCCUCUUCAAGAUGGAGUUGCUCUGUUCAGAUGCCUCUGACAUACCCAAUUUCUAUUAAAUAUGAGUAGAUUUUGUACUUUAAAUGAACAGACUUUUAAAUAUAUUUUCUAAAUGAAAAUUUAAGAGAAAAAAGUACUGGUGUGGUGUCGCUUGUUUUUUGAGAAUACAGACCAUACCAGUGUUUAAACAACCAGUUUCUGUUUUUCAGUUUUCUGUGAUUCUCAAAGUGCAAUCCGAGACCAGAGGAGUCAGCAUGGGGAUCACAUGGGAACUCACUGGAAAUGCAAAUUUCAGACCCCACCCCAGACCUAUUGAGUCAGAAACUCUGGGGUGGGGCUCAGCAAUCUAUUUUAACAAGUCCUCCGGGUAUUUCUGAUGCACACUAAGAUUGGAGAAACACUGGUCUAAGUCAGUCUUCAUGCCAUACCAACAUGAUCUAAGUAGAGUGCUUUUCUGGGAUUUUGGGACAGGGUCAAGUAAGCACCAUUUAAAAAUCAAUGAUUAAUGCCAAAUGCGGUGGCUCAAGCCUGUAAUCCCAGCACUUUGGGAGGCCAAGGUGGGCGGAUCAUGAGAUCAGGAGUUUGAGACCAGCCUGGCCAACAUGUUGAAACCCCAUCUCUACUAAAAAUACAAAAAGCCAGGUGUGGUGUACACCUGUAAUCCCAGCUACUUAGGAGGCUGAGGCAGACUUGCUUGAAUCUGUCAGGCAGAAGUUGCAGUGAGCUAAGAUGGCACAACUGCACUUUAGCCUGGGUGACAGCAAGACUCCAUCUCAAAAAAAAAAAAAAAA
rnacentral:lncRNA from 1 species